rnacentral:rRNA from 1 species
UACAGAGAGUGCAAACGUUGUUCGGAAUCACUGGGCAUAAAGCGCACGUAGGCGGCUUAGCAAGUCGGAAGUGAAAUCCCUCGGCUCAACCCAAGGAAGUGCUUUCGAAACUGCUGAGCUUGAGUACUUAAGAGGAUCGCGGAAUUCCGGAUGUGUAGAGGUGAAAUUCGUAGAUAUCGGAAGAACACCAGUGGCGAAGGGCG